rnacentral:rRNA from 1 species
CCUACGGGUGGCUGCAGUGAGGAAUAUUGGUCAAUGGUCGGGAGCCUGAACCAGCCAAGUCGCGUGAGGGAGUAAUGCACUGUGGGUUGUAAACCUCUUUUGUCAGGGAACAAAAACCGGACGUGUCCGGCUGUUGGAGUACCCGGAAGAAAAACAACCGGUUACCUCGGUCCCAGAACCCGCGGUAUUAGGGGGGAUGCGAGCGUUAUCCGGUUUUUUUGGGUUUAAAGGGGGCGCAGGCGGAUUUUUAAGUCAGCGGUAAAAGCGGGGGGCUCAACCCCACCCAGCCGUUGAAACUGGCGAUCUAGAGUGUGCGAGAGGUAUGCGGAAUGCGUGGUGUAGCGGUGAAAUGCAUAGAUAUCACGCAGAACCCCGAUUGCGAAGGCAGCAUACCGGUGCCAAACUGACGCUCAGGCACGAAAGCGUGGGUAUCGAACAGGAUUAGAUACCCUUGUAGUC